CUGCUGAAGCGAGUGCUGGCCGGCGUGCAGCUCCGCCGAGCCGUGGUUUCCCGGCGUAGUAUGUGCCGUGUGUUCGUUCUCCAGUGUCUGGGGACACACUUCUACUUUUGGAGCCACCAGAAGAUGAUCUGGCUAGUACUGUACAGUUUAUUGAAAUCACAGGCUUGGCAUGUCCUGUCAAAAUUCUUAAUACAUGUUCUCUUGGUACAUGUAUGUAUAUGGCACGGGGAGGGCACAUCUGCAGAUAAGGAGACGGUGUCACUGGACUCCAGAAGGCUUGAGGACCCAGACACUGCACAGCCUCAGAAGCAGCCUGGUAACAUUAAUUCACAAACUGUCAGAGCUCUAUAUGGAAAACAUCUUGAGAGACAGAGCUGGCAGAAGUAAAAAUUCAAGUGGAGAAAAGAAAGCUGCAAGAAAUGAGCUUGAUCUUGAAAUUAAAAUAAGGACCCUUGUGAAACUGGACCUAGAAAUCCAGAAAUUAGAAAGUGAAGAUCCAAGCAGACAAAAGAGGACUGGGAAAUAAAACAAUUGAACGACAAAA